UACGAAGGGGGCUAGCGUUGCUCGGAAUCACUGGGCGUAAAGCGCACGUAGGCGGAUUGUUAAGUCAGGGGUGAAAUCCUGGAGCUCAACUUCAGAACUGCCUUUGAUACUGGCGAUCUUGAGUCCGGGAGAGGUGAGUGGAACUGCGAGUGUAGAGGUGAAAUUCGUAGAUAUUCGCAAGAACACCAGUGGCGAAGGCGGCUCACUGGCCCGAUACUGACGCUGAGGUGCGAAAGCGUGGGGAGCAAACAGG
rnacentral:rRNA from 1 species